CAGUAGCCACGGGAAUGCGGAGGGAGCUAGCGUUGUUCGGAAUUACUGGGCGUAAAGCGCACGUAGGCGGUUAUUCAAGUCAGAGGUGAAAGCCCGGGGCUCAACCCCGGAACUGCCUUUGAAACUAGAUGACUGGAAUCUUGGAGAGGUCAGUGGAAUUCCGAGUGUAGAGGUGAAAUUCGUAGAUAUUCGGAAGAACACCAGUGGCGAAGGCGACUGACUGGACAAGUAUUGACGCUGAGGUGCGAAAGCGUGAGGAGCAAACAGGAUUAGAUACCCCUGUAGUCCCUGUCUCUUAUAC
rnacentral:rRNA from 1 species